GCCAGCAGCUGGAGCUAGAGAAACUGUGUCGCCUUGAGACAACCCACCCCACAGCCUCUGAGGUUGCCAAGGAGGAUGUGUCCACGUAUCACUUGGCAAUAGAAGCAAAUCUUGGCUGGAGAACGUUUUCCUCUCAGAGCAGCGAAGGGGAAAUAAAGCCGUGCCUGGUAAACUGAGGAGCGAGUGAGUGCACAGCCGUGCUGAAGGCCGAGCAGGCGGCGGUGUUUAAGUUCCCGCUGGCGCCGCUCGGUUGCUCCGGGCUGGGCUCGGCGCUGCUGGCUGCGGGGCCCGGACUGCCCGGUGCCGCGGGCGCGCCGCACCUGCCGCUGGAGCUGCAGCUGCGCGGGAAGCUGGAGGCGCCGGGCACUGGGGAGCCGGGCACCAAGGCCAAGAAGGGGCGUCGGAGCCGCACGGUGUUCACCGAGCUGCAGCUGAUGGGCCUAGAGAAGCGCUUCGAGAAGCAGAAGUACCUCUCCACACCCGACAGAAUAGAUCUCGCGGAGUCCCUGGGCCUGAGCCAGUUACAGGUGAAGACGUGGUACCAGAACCGGCGGAUGAAGUGGAAGAAAAUAGUGCUGCAGGGUGGCGGCCUGGAGUCUCCCACCAAGCCCAAGGGGCGGCCCAAGAAGAACUCCAUCCCCACAAGCGAGCAGCUCACGGAGCAGGAGCGCGCCAAGGAGGCGGAGAAGUCGGCGGAGGCGCCAGGCGAGGCCAGCGACAGGAGCCGCGAGGACUGAGCGCGGCAAGGGGUGCGGCCCGGGACCCUCGCGCCGCCGGUGGCCCCCUCAGCCCGCGGGAAGCCGCGAGCCGGCCCUUCUGCACCCACGCCGUUUGCUUUCUAAACGUUUUAUUAUCUUGAAUGCGGACAGUUAGGGGCCAAACAAGGAAGGACACAGACCCUGAAGCCAAACCCCGGCCCCGGUGCGCUCCGGGCCCUGGCCUGGAGACUGGCGUCUGGCGCUGCGGAGGGUCGCCUCUAGUCGGAGCUCCGCGGCGCCGGGCGCCCCACGCGCAUUCACGCCCCGCUCCUCUCCCGCACCCCCACCCGCCUCGGCCGGUUCCGGACGCCGCCGGGCGCACUCCCGCUUCCGCGCGUCAGGGACCCCGCUGCUGGAGCAGGCCACCACGGCCGGCCAGAGACGGCGCCCGGACAGCCCGGCGCUCGGCCCUGCAGCUGGGUUCCCGACGUCGCUGGGGCCCCUACCCCUCUCUUGCGAAGACGGUGAUCUUUUUUCCAAUAAAAUAUUUUAUGACACCG
ensembl:lncRNA